UCUUACUCCUCUUAUUAUGUUUUAUUUUAUUUGUUUAUUUAUCAAUUUUUGGAUUUUAAUGCUCUAUAAGUUUAUAUCACCUAGAUAAUUAGUUCUAAUGCUUUUGUUAUGUUUUAUUUUAUUUGUUUACUUAUCAAUUUCUGGAUUUUAAUGCUCUUAUUAUGUUUUAUUUUAUUUGUUUAUUUAUCAAUUUCUGGAUUUUAAUGCUUUAUAAGUUUUAUUACCUAGAUAUUUAGUUCUAAUGUUCUCCGUCAUGGAUCUAUCGUGAUUAUGCAUAUUUUUUUGUUUUCCUUCUUGUGUACCUCCUGUUUAUAUGGGUCGUACCCUUGUUUUGGCGGCUUUUAAUGAUAUUUUACCACUUCCCCCCUCCCUACCAAAAAAAGAGAGAGCCUAUGCAUCAAGUACAUAUAUUUUGUUUUGCAGAUAUUUUUUUUAAAGGACCAUUUUUCUUUACCAGUAAUUGGCCCUGUAUGUGUUUUGUUUAAUUUAUCCAGAGAUAGCCUCAUCACUUUGUUCUCUCAUUUACCAAAAUUUGUUAGAUAAAUGAAAAUUCUUUCUCCACAAAGGGAGUGGAAUGAAAAUUAAAUUUGAUUAUACAAUUUUUGAAAAUAUAAUUCAUUGGAGGCUGGGGAUUGAUGGAUGAAACAAUUCUGAAAACGCUGUUCAUGACACAUUUUAUUCGUUUAUGACUUUUUAAAAUGUGUCAAAUAUGUGUGCAUGAGCUGGUUAUCACUACAAGAAAUUAGGCUAUUCCACCAUCACAACUCACAAAGCUUGAUCUUUAGUUCUUCACCUUUUUUGUUCUUCUCAACGGCGCCCUGCUCUACGACCUAAUAGCAACCUUUGGAAGGUUUUUUCCGUUUCUAGCCAAGCCAACCUCAUAAUCUUAGUAGAGGUAAGUAAAAUUUCUUUCGUACUUUUCUUGUUUGCCAUUUUUCAUGAUCCUCACCCUAGUUUUUUCUAGGGUUUCGAAAUUACAAAAAGCCUAUUGAAGGGGUAAAUUACAAAUCUGGAAAGGCUUGUAAUCUCCAAACAAACAUGCUCAAAAUAUUGAAACAGUGAAUAGAGCAAGUUAUAACAAUCUCAGAUCACAAGUAGGCUUAAAAUAUCUUAAACCCUAGUCUUCAGUCAAAUCACCUGAAACUUGAGUUAAUUCUGGUUCUUAUAGCUUCACAUACUCACAGUGCACUUACUUAAUUAGAUACUUUAGUUCUUUCAACAAGAGACACAGUUGUAGUGCACAAUAAGUGCUAGGAUAGAACUGACAUCAGUUUUACACUUGAAUUCUGCAGUAGUGAGAAUAAGCAGGUCAAUCUGCAAUGCAGGUGAAAGUAGGCCUUGAUUCAUGUUCCCACAACACUAAAUAAAUGAAACUUUUUCAGAAUGAUACUCUUCAGUGUAUAGCAAGUUUACUUCGAAUUCCAGCUCAAAAUAAGUCACAGCACAAUUUCAGCUGAAACUUUGUUCUUAGGGACUAAAUCAUAAUUUUACUUCCUUAUAGCCUUGAACUUGAUUCCAAACACCUCAAUCUAGUUAUAUAUAUAUGCUCAGAAGGUAAUCACAGCAAAGCUAGCAAUAUGAAUCAACUAGAAUGAGUUUAAAACUUUCUGUAGGCUAUUUUAUUCAAUAAGGUUGUUUUGUUUUGUUUGAGAGUUCAAAACCAAAUACACUCAAUUUUCAGUCUUGAUUUUUGUCAACAGAGCUCUAUAAUGAUUAAAUAUACUUGUUUAAAGCAUAAACUCAACACAUACAAAAAGUAAUCAACAUAAAAUAGUCCAUUAGAGGCUAUGCACCAGAAAAGUAGGCUGAAACUGAGAUAUGAGUACUCAUAUUGUUUUUCUGUGCAAAAUUAGGCAUAUACUUGAGUUCUACAGAUGUAAAUAAAUGUACCAAGCUUGCUUCAACCAUCAUACAGCACCUGGAACCUCUACAACCAAUUUUGACCCUUCAAUCCAGCCUCAACAUCAACAUAAAUGCAUCAGAAAAUUCUGCUUCACAGGUUCAGAAAUUCUUCAGUGGAUUAGUGCAUUCUCAUAGUGAUUUCAGAGAUUAAGUUAGCUCAAAACUUCAAUUAAUCUAUCUGAAAGUGACUCAUAUUUUCAGCUCUCGAGCCUCACACUCAAUGCAGCUCAAUAUAUAAAAAGAGGCUCAAUAUUUGCACACAUGAGUGCUGCUCUAUAACAGUAUAUUUAUACAUUGAAUUUAGGUGCUGCUCUAUAGCAAAUUUUUUUGAAGCAAAGAUACAAUGCACCUUCAGAAAAUGUUUCCAAUCAUACACUACAGAUUAGAUUGAUCAAAAUACCCCUAAGGAUGCAGCUGAGAUUACAUAAUUGCCCUUUACUGAUGACACUUGUCACUUAAACCAGAUGAUACUUGCUGUAGCCCUUGAAAGUGACCAGAUGAUGCUUACUGCAGCCCUUAAAUUUGUGAUUCAACCUUUAAUAGAAUAUCUGUAGUGCAAUGUAGUAUCAAAGACAAGUGUAGCAAUAUUACUCCCAUGUAUAGAAAGACUAAUAUUCCCUUGUGUUAAGACUUGUAUUCAGGAACAAACCUUAAGAUAGGUGAUACCAUUUAGCCUCAAGAUUAGUAUUUGUCAUUCAAAGAGAAAACCACAUCAACAGAAUUCCACAGGAAAAUAUACAAUAUUCUAUUUAUUUUAGCGAUAUUACUUGGUUAGGAAAGCAUUUUUCUAUUUUCCUUCUUGUGUACCUCCUGUUUAUAUGUGUCGUACCCUUGUUUUGGCGCCUUUUAAUGAUAUUUUACCACUUCCUCCCUCCCUACCAAAAAAAGAGAGCCUAUGGAUCAAGUACAUAUAUUUUGUUUUGCAGAUAUUUUUUUUAAUGGACCAUUUUUCUUUACUAGUAAUAGGCCCUGUAUAUAUUCUCACUACUCCCCCACUACAGCUGUGAUUGUCUUCUCAUCCUAGCUAACUUGUUUGUUCUUGCAUAGACACAACAUAUCUAUAUUUUUAAUAUAUUGAAUGUUUGAACUUAUUAAAAGUUUAUAAGUUUAUAAUUUAAAAUUGUGGCACCUACAAUAAUUUCAUUUACAUUUAAGUUUGGAAAGUGCAGUAAUAGAAAUGAAGGAAUCAGUUAAUUCUGUUUAGAUCAAUAAUAAUACUACAUCCUGUUUAGUUCAACAACCUUUGUUUGUUUGCAAAGGUUUGAGUUGGGUUUUAGGGAAACCGAAGAGAGGAUCCCUUUGCUGAAAAAUAAAAGAAGGGGCUUCAAAUCAAAGUCAAUAGACAUUAUUCUUUGCUAGCUACUUCUCAACGCAUUACAAGGACCUUGCUUUCACUUUUAUUUAAUGGAUUUCUUUAUUGUUUUCCCUUAUAAUAUGAUUGAUUUUCAUUCUUAAAGAGUUAUGAUAUAUUCAACAUACGCAUAAAGUGACUUGUUUAAAAUUGAUAUUAUAAUUUUUUAUUUUUUAUUUUAUUUUAUGUAAAAUAGCAGUUACAUGGAUAAGUCUUGGAUUCAUCAUCACACUAGGGGUAGUCGAAUCUAUUUUGAUGGCUAGUCGUCAUGCACAGACAGGUGGUAUUACCCGAUGUCCCUGUCGUCGUUGCAAAAACAAGGAAUAUCUUGAAAUUAAAUAGGUUAAGUAACAUCUCUUGAGUAAUGGGAUGGACAAGGGGUAUAACAAUUGGAUAUAUCAUGGGGAGGUUCCUCAAACCAGCAAUAAUGUUAAUAUUGGUGCUAAUGUUAGUAGGGAAAGUGCCCAUGAUGAAGAUGGAAUGUAGAUAAUGUAUUUGGGUUAUUGGAUAACGUACAAAUGGGAAACUUCAAUAAUGCACAACAACAAGAAGAUUUGCCUGAUGCUGAUGGGGAGGAGGAAAAUUUUUUAGAUUGUUAAAUGAUGCACAAAGUGAAUUGGCCAGGUUGUCAAAAAUUCUCGAAGUUGUCAGUGAUAUUAAAGUUAUUCCAUGUGAAGGUUAUGGGUUGAAUGAGCAACAAAACAUUUGACAUGAUGCUUAUGGCAUUUAAGGAGAUGUUUCUUGAUAACAAUGUGUUACCAAAGUCUCAUUACGAGACUAAAAGCUUGUUGCGAGAUUUGGGUCUCGGAUAUGAGUGUAUCCAUGCAUGUAAACAUGAUUAUGUUCUAUUUUGGAAAGCAAAUGCAGGUAAGGAAAAUUGUCCACAAUGUGGUGAGUCGAGGUAUAAACCUCACAAAGGUAAGGGUAAGAAAGUCCCUUAAAAAUUUCUUCGGUACUUCCCUUUGAAAUCAAGACUUCAACUGUUGUUUAUGUCGAAGGAUACAGCCUUAGAUAUGCGGUGGCAUAAGGAGAAGCGUGUGAAGGAGACAAAUGAGUUAAGACAUCCGUCUGAUUCAAAAGCUUGGGAGGAUUUUGAUAAUAAGCAUAGUUGGUUUGCUGCUGAUCCUCAUAAUGUUCAUGUUGAAUUAGCAACUGAUGGAUUCAAUCCAUUUGGUAACAUGAGCAAUUCCUAUAGUAUGUGGCCUAUGAUGAUUGUGCCUUACAAUUUGCCCCCUUGGAUAUGUAUGAAGGAACCAUAUGUGUUGAUGUCGUUGCUUAUUCCUGGUCCAAUCUCGCCUGGUAAUGAUAUUGAUGUAUAUCUGCGGCCUUUAGUUGAAGAGUUAAAAGAAUUAUGGGGGGAUGGUGUGAUGACGUAUGAUGCCAGUAAAUGUAACUUUAAAAUGCAUGCGGCAAUGAUUUAAACCAUUACUGACUUUCUUGCCUAUGCGAUGGCUUCUGGAUGGAUGACGAAGGGUUAUCUAGUAUGUCCAAAUUGUAGCGAAGAAACAUGUUCUUAUUAUUUGAAACACGGACGGAAGAUAUGUUAUUUGGGAAGUCGUAUGUUUUUGUCGUUAGAUCACGUUUUUAGGAAGCGGUAUAAGCAGUUUAAUGGUGAGAAGCAAGAUAAAGGGCCACCAAAACAGUUGACAGGUGAUGAUAUUCUGGAACAACUUAACCGCAUACCCGAGGUUAGUUUCAGAAAGGGACCAAAUAACUAGAAGUGAACUCGUGAACAAUUUGAACUUAACUGGACAAAGAAGAGUAUUUUCUUUGAACUACCUUAUUGGUAGACCCUUUUGUUACGGCACAACCUAGAUGUUAUGCAUAUAGAGAAAAACAUAUGCGAUAAUGUGUUAGGGACAUUAUUGGAUAUUGAAGGAAAAACGAAGGAUACAUUCAAAACUCGAUUGGAUUUAGAAGCAAUGAAGAUUAGAAAAGAACUACAUCUCAAGCGUAAUGGUGAAAAUUUUGAGAUGCCACGAGCGCGCUACACAUUGUCAAAGAAUGAUAAAAAGCAAUUGUGUGAAUGGCUAAAAUCAGUUAAGUUCCCAGAUGGCUAUGCCUUAAACAUAAGUCGGUGUGUGAAUGUUAAUAACUGUAAGAUAUCUGGAUUGAAAAGUCAUGAUUCACAUGUUCUGUUACAGCGCCUCCUCCCCAUAGCUAUACGAGGAUUCUUAGAUUCGGAUAUUUGUAAUGCAAUAGCAGAGCUUGGUUUAUUCUUUAAGGAAUUGUGUUGUCGAACUAUUAAAGUGGAUGUCUUAGAGGCAAUGGAAAAGGACAUUGCUAUUAUACUAUGCAAGUUGGAGAUGAUAUUUCCUCCGUCAUUUUUCGACAUUAUGGUGCACUUGGCUCUGCAUUUGCCACAUGAAGCCAUUAUUGCUGGCCCCGCACAAUAUCAGUCGAUGUACCCCAUUGAAAGAGGGAUUGAGAAUCAAGAAGAAAGAAAUAGUGAGGGGGAUUACAACAAUAAUUGGACCACUAUUUCAGAUCUAAAGCAAGUAGUUCGACCUCUAAGGGCACAAAGUUUGGAGAUAUUGUCCCGUGAGGACAUGGAGAUGGCCUGAUUGUACGUAUUACAAAAUUCUGGAGUAGUUGAGUCAUACGAAGAAAAACAUAAGGUGGAACUUGAGAGACAAGAUCCGCGAAAUGUUCCUCAAAGACAUGCAAAAGAAUUUUCUAGAUGGUUCGAAACACAAAUCUUGAAAAUGCGUCAUCAUCAAAAGGAAACAACUUGUGAUGAUCUGUAUUCGCUAGCGUGUGGACCUGGAUCUCUACUUGCAAAUAGAAUUACGGACACUUCUGAGGCACCAAUGCGUAGAAUAUUAAGGUCCAGCGUGGCUCAAACUCGAACUGAGACACCAUCUACAAGUUCAGCUGCCACAUAACCGAGUGGAGAAGCUGAUGGUAGUAAUUUAAUAAGUUAACAGCCUAUUAUGGAAGGUGCCAGUAAUACUUUGCAGACGAGGCCACAACGAAGUAUAGGCCCAGUACGAAAAGGGCGUGGAAAAGCAAAGAAUAUAGCCCUACACAAAGCUAAGGAACUCUAUGGAAAGGAUGCUCCAAUUCUGGUAGAGUUUGGGACGGGUUAUAUUAAACCCGUUGGCAAAAAUCACAAUUUAUGGACGGCUGAGGUUGGCAUCCAUGCGAGAGAUAAAGAAGCGCUAUUGAAAUAUAAAACGUGGAGGGAAAUUCUAGAUUAUGAGAGAUAGGUCUGCUAUGACCAUUUUAAGGUGACCUUUGGAGUGGAUGCACAUGACAAUGAAACUGAUUUCAAGCGAGUAACUAAGGAAAUGUUGGAACGUUUGAGGAAAUAUAAAUAUAAAUUGAAGAAUCAUUUUGUCAAGCAUCUUCCCAUUGAGAAUGCAUGCUUGCAUCCAUAUGGUAUUAUUAAUAUUGAUGUUGGGGGAAAAUGUGCGAUUGGUGGACAUCACCAGAAUUUCAAAUUCGGAUUUUUAACCACCUGCUUUAAAUUAUUUACUUGAAAUCAUUGAUUAUAAUACAUUGAUUAACUAGCUAUUUAGGUUUCCUAACUUGUAUUAUUGUUUGAAUUGUUGUGUAUAAAAUAAGUGACAGAAAUAAAGGCAACCGUUCGAAGAAUGAUACUCCACAUGUUUCUGGAUCGAUGUCUUUCGCCAGACGCUAUGAUAUUUAUCUGAAAGAAAGUCAAGAAAGGCAAGAAAGGCAAAAGGAAGAAGAUGAGGAAGUUGAAAGUCCUGAGGAGGGUCUUGCUAUUCGCAUGUACAAGGACACGCAUUUUAGGGAAGAAAUUGGAUGGAUAAACAAGAGAGCUAAGCAGAACUACGAUGAAAUGAAACAGAAGUUUUCACAAGUUUUUCACAAUUCUGAUGGUACCAGUCCUGUCAUAAAUGAUGUUGAGAUAGUGGAAAACCAAAUAGGUAUCAGAAAGGGAUGUCGUCGUGGGUUCGGAAAUGGUUUUGUAGCUCCAAGCCAUCAACGUGUAUCCUUAUCUUUUGAAGAGGCUUCUAGAAAAAGGGUAAAAAAUGUUGAAGAAGAUAAUGCACAACUUAGGGAGAAAGUUACAAAUUUGGAGGAGAAGUUGGAUACAUUUCAGUACCUCCUUGAGCAACAACAACAACUCCUUCAGCAGCAACAACAGUAGCUCCAGCAACUCCUUGAGCAGCAACAAUAGAACCAACAACCGCCACCACGAUUCCACCAACAUCAGCAUGCCCCACCAAGCUGGUAUCAGCAGCCGCCAACAUGGUGGCAAUUUCAGCACCACGCACCAGCACCACCACAACAGUCACCUGAAUGAACUAUAAAGAUAAUUAUUUUGGUAGAUAUAUUUUAAAGCUUUUUGAUGGCUAGCUAGCUGAUUUCUAACUAUUUUGGUAGUAUAUUUUUUUCCUUGCAUUUUCAUGAUUGCAUUUAGUUUAAAAUGAUGUUUUAAUUUUUGAGGAUGUUUGGAACCAUUUGAUGUUAAAGCAGCUAGUAGAUACUUUUAGCUCUUCUUUACAAAACUGGAGAAUUUUUAGUUUCAUCAUGGGAUUAAGAGCUUAUUUGUUGGCAUCG